rnacentral:tRNA from 1 species
GGAGAGAUGGCCGAGAGGCUGAAGGCGCUCCCCUGCUAAGGGAGUGUGGGCUUUAUCUCCCACCGAGGGUUCGAAUCCCUCUCUCUCCGCCA